GUCGUUAGGACACCGUAAUUAUCAAUCUAAUUUUGAUUUUAAUAAAAAUUAAAAAUAUAUAGAAAGUAGUGAGUCAGGUUGAAUCCACAGAGAAGAUAGAAUUUUGAUUUAAAAUUUUUGAUUUUAGAAAAAAAAAAUAAAGUUUCAAAGAAAGUAAUUUUAGUCAAAAAAUAAAAAAUAAAAAUAUGAAAAAUAAAUAUGG
rnacentral:lncRNA from 1 species